rnacentral:rRNA from 1 species
UGAGGAAUAUUGCGCAAUGGGGGCAACCCUGACGCAGCAACGCCGCGUGAGUGAGGAAGGUUUUCGGACCGUAAAGCUCUGUCGAGCGGGAAGAAAUGCAUGGUGGCUAAUAUCCAUCAUGCUUGACGGUACCGCUAAAGGAAGCACCGGCUAACUCCGUGCCAGCAGCCGCGGUAAUACGGGGGGUGCGAGCGUUGUUCGGAAUUAUUGGGCGUAAAGAGCGUGUAGGCGGCCGAAUAAGUCAGAUGUGAAAUCCCUGGGCUUAACCCAGGACGUGCAUUUGAAACUAUUCGGCUAGAGUAGGGGAGAGGAAAGUGGAAUUCCUGGUGUAGAGGUGAAAUUCGUAGAUAUCAGGAGGAACACCGGUGGCGAAGGCGACUUUCUGGCCCUAUACUGACGCUGAGACGCGAGAGCAUGGG